rnacentral:rRNA from 1 species
AUUGAACGCUGGCGGCAGGCCUAACACAUGCAAGUCGAGCGGAUGAAGGGAGCUUGCUCCUGGAUUCAGCGGCGGACGGGUGAGUAAUGCCUAGGAAUCUGCCUGGUAGUGGGGGAUAACGUCCGGAAACGGGCGCUAAUACCGCAUACGUCCAGAGGGAGAAAGUGGGGGAUCUUCGGACCUCACGCUAUCAGCUGAGCCUAGGUCGGAUUAGCUAGUUGGUGGGGUAAAGGCCUACCAAGGCGACGAUCCGUAACAGGUCUGAGAGGAUGAUCAGUCACACUGGAACUGAGACACGGUCCAGACUCCUACGGGAGGCAGCAGUGGGGAAUAUUGGGCAAUGGGCGAAAGCCUGAUCCAGCCACGCCGCGUGUGUGAAGAAGGUCUUCGGAUUGUAAAGCACUGUUAGUUGGGAGGAAGGGCCGUAUGUUAAUACCUUGCUGUUUUGACGUUACCUACAGAGUAAGCCCCGGCUAACUUCGUG